rnacentral:rRNA from 1 species
UACAGAGGGUGCAAGCGUUGUUCGGAAUUAUUGGGCGUAAAGCGCGUGUAGGCGGCUUUGCAAGUCGGGUGUGAAAACUCCAGGCUCAACCUGGAGACGCCACCCGAUACUGCCAUGGCUAGAGUCCGGUAGGGGACCACGGAAUUCCUGGUGUAGCGGUGAAAUGCGCAGAUAUCAGGAGGAACACCGGUGGCGAAGGCGGUGGUCUGGGCCGGAACUGACGCUGAGGAGCGAAAGCGUGGGGAGCGAACAGG